rnacentral:rRNA from 1 species
AGAGUUUGAUCCUGGCUCAGGAUGAACGCUAGCGGCAGGCCUAAUACAUGCAAGUCGAACGGUGUAGCAAUACAUAGUGGCGCACGGGUGCGUAACACGUAUGCAACCUACCUUAUACUGGGGGAUAGCCUUUGGAAACGGAGAUUAAUACCCCAUAGUACAUUUGAUUGGCAUCAAUUAAAUGUUAAAGAUUUAUCGGUAUAAGCUGGGCAUGCGUCCAAUUAGUUAGUUGGUGAGGUAAUGGCUCACCAAGACUUUGAUUGGUAGGGGAACUGAGAGGUUAAUCCCCCACACUGGCACUGAGAUACGGGCCAGACUCCUACGGGAGGCAGCAGUAGGGAAUAUUGGGCAAUGGAGGCAACUCUGACCCAGCCAUGCCGCGUGCAGGAAGAAGGCGUUAUGCGUUGUAAACUGCUUUUAUAUAGGAAGAAAUAGUCCUUGCGAGGAAAGUGACGGUACUAUA